UGUCCCACAGAAAACAAUUGUUAUAUACAGAGAGAGAAAAUAAACAUACAAGUUUAAUGUCCAGUGCAGGGAAUUUCAAGGGGGCAAGGUCAAUGAAAGACCAGGAUAGAGAUGUCUCCUGCUGUGCUUCCCAAAUGCAGGCCAGAAGAGGCAUAAGUGAAUUCAUGAGAAGAGUGAACUCCCUAACAGUGCACCUGCUACCCAGAAUGCUUUGCCUCUGGCUUGCGUAGGCUUCACACCUGAAACAGUGCACUGAAACACUGAGUAUCACUUCCUGCGUGUGGUGAAAAUUCACACUCAAAGAACUCAGGAUGGGCAUCCAUUAUUGAAAUUACAUCUACAGUGUAUUUGAGAGAGCCUGCCUUUCUGUCUAUUCAAGAAUUCCUCCUAAAUGAAUACGGGAGACUGAUCAAUUUUGAGACCGAUAGCAACCAGUGGGAAAUUUUGCCUGUUUCCAGAAAGUAAAAGAAACUGCCUGUGUGAGCUCCAAAAGCUCCAAAAAUGGAGGUACAGCGGGAAUCAUUCUCCAACCAAGCCUACCCACAGAGCAUCUUCAAGAGUCACAUGAGUACUUCAGGCAUCAAGGAUAGACAGUAGACAUGAAACAGCACCCAUUGAUUUCUCUGCAAAGAUUUCUAAACUCUCAGCAACACCACUGGCUUACAUUAACACCCGUAACCUGAAAAUUUUCCCCCAAAGCCUCAGGUCUCUUGGAGCACAGUUUGUCAUAGCUCGUCUGCUGCCGAAGAGAAUUCAAUUUACACUUUUAUUUAUUUAUUUUUAUUUGAGAUCAAAAGUUGGGUCACCUCCCAGGGAAGUAAGAUUAAUAAUGAAGUCACCUGUAAACAAGGAGUUAAGAAAGAAAUGAUUUACCCUUCAGGAAAGGAGAGAAUUUAAGGCUUUAAUAGACUUAGCUCAUCCCAGCAAUCAAUCCCAGCUGGCAAAAUCUAGGUCAGUGAAACCAAAUGGAAUCCAGAGAAUGAAACACUCAGUUGUUAAAGAUUAAGAAAGAGCUUAAGAUCAGGUCAGAAACAAAGGUCACGAAGCUAUGUUUCAUGGUUCUAUUUAGUAAACAGCCAAAAAACUCUAAAAAAAAAACCCACCCCAAAGCCCAUAUUUAGUGUUUGCCUUAAAACAACAAAAACAAGACAUUUUAGAGAGCAAAUAUAUGUUUAUAGGUAUAAUUCCAAGCCGUAUAAUAUACAGAAAUCCAAUGUUGUCAACUCUCAUGAUUUUGUCACGUGUCUCAUGAUAAUUAUUUUUUCCUUAAAGCCCCUGCAGUCAAGAGGAUAUGUGAUGAUUUGAGGUUCAUUCCUGAAGAAAAUGUCAGCUUCUAGCCCUUCUGGCUAUGAAAAAAAAAAUCUUCAAAAUGUGACCCCCGCUCACCCUAAAGGCAAAUAAAAAGGCAAAAGUA